UACGUAGGCAGCAAGCGUUGUUCGGAGUUACUGGGCGUAAAGGGCGUGUAGGCGGGACGGUAAGUCGGGCGUGAAAUCCCUAGGCUCAACCUAGGAACUGCACUCGAAACUACCAUUCUUGAGUGUCGGAGAGGAAAGCGGAAUUCCUGGUGUAGAGGUGAAAUUCGUAGAUAUCAGGAGGAACACCAGUGGCGAAGGCGGCUUUCUGGACGAUAACUGACGCUGAGACGCGAAAGCGUGGGGGAGCAAACAGG
rnacentral:rRNA from 1 species